rnacentral:rRNA from 1 species
UACGUAGGGGGCAAGCGUUGUCCGGAAUUAUUGGGCGUAAAGAGCUCGUAGGCGGCUUGUCACGUCGACUGUGAAAACCCGGGGCUCAACUCCGGGCCUGCAGUCGAUACGGGCUGGCUUGAGUGCGGUAGGGGAGACUGGAAUUCCUGGUGUAGCGGUGAAAUGCGUAGAUAUCAAGAGGAACACCAGUGGCGAAGGCGAGUCCCUGGACAACACCUGACACUGAGGCACGAAAGCCGGGGGAGCAAACAGG